UGUAAGCGUAUACCAAAGUUGUUGCAGUUAAAACGCUCGUAGUCGGAAUUUGGCAGUUCCGGAUGUGUGCACGUCGUGUGCGCACUUCGCGGGGAUUGCUUUUGUGGUCUUGCGUAGGAUGAGGCACUUUUAUUAGUGAAUGUCCUCACGCAACCACUUUUUACUGUGAGAAAAUCAGAGUGCUCAAAGCAGGCAUUUGCCGUGAAUGUAUUAGCAUGGAAUAAUAGAAUAGGACUUGGUUCUAUUUUGUUGGUUUGUUGGGACUGAGUAAUGAUUAAGAGGGACAGUUGGGGGCAUUUGUAUUUCGGUGCUAGAGGUGAAAUUCUUAGAUUACCGAAAGACAAACUGCUGCGAAAGCGUCUGCCAAGGAUGUUUUCAUUGA
rnacentral:rRNA from 1 species